UACGUAGGGUGCGAGCGUUAAUCGGAAUUACUGGGCGUAAAGCGUGCGCAGGCGGUUUUGUAAGCCAGAUGUGAAAUCCCCCGGGCUUAACCUGGGAAUGGCAUUUGGGACUGCAAGGCUUGAGUGCGGCAGAGGAGACUGGAAUUCCUGGUGUAGCAGUGAAAUGCGUAGAGUAUCAGGAGGAACACCGAUGGCGAAGGCAGGUCUCUGGGCUGACACUGACGCUCAUGCACGAAAGCGUGGGGAGCAAACAGG
rnacentral:rRNA from 1 species